rnacentral:rRNA from 1 species
UACGGAGGGUGCGAGCGUUAAUCGGAAUUACUGGGCGUAAAGGGUGCGUAGGUUGUUGAUUAAGUUAUCUGUAAAAUCCCCGGGCUUAACCUGGGAGUGCCAGAUGAUACUGAUUGACUCGAGUAUGGGAGAGGGUAGUGGAAUUUCCGGUGUAGCGGUGAAAUGCGUAGAUAUCUGGAGGAACACCGGUGGCGAAGGCGGGUCUCUGGGCCGAUACUGACGCUGAGGAGCGAAAGCGUGGGGAGCAAACAGG